rnacentral:rRNA from 1 species
AGCCUGAACGCUGGCGGCGUGGCUAAGACAUGCAAGUCGUACGGUGUAGCAAUACACAGUGGCGAACGGGUGAGUAAUGAAUCGCUAACGUACCCCGGACUUUGGGAUAGCUAGCUGAAAGGCUAGGUAAUACCAGAUGAUAUAAUCCUUCCGCAUGGUUGGGUUCUCAAAGGUCCGCCGGUCUGGGAGCGGGCGAUUUCGUAUCAGCUAGUUGGCGGGUAACGGCCCACCAAGGCGACGACGCGUAGCCGGACUGAGAGGUUGGCCGGCCACAUUGGGACUGAGACACUGCCCCAGACUCCUACGGGGGGCUGCAGUACGAAUCUUCCGCAAUGCCCGCAAGGGUGACGGAGCGACGCCGCGUGCAGGACGAAGCCCUUCGGGGUGUAAACUGCUGUCAGGGGAUAGAAGUUCUGAUCGUCCCCAGAGGAAGGCACGGCUAACUCUGUGCCAGCAGCCGC